rnacentral:rRNA from 1 species
AGUGAACGCUGGCGGCAGGCCUAACACAUGCAAGUCGAGCGGCAGCGCGGGGGCAACCCUGGCGGCGAGCGGCGGACGGGUGAGGAAUUCGUCGGAAUCUGCCUUUUUGUGGGGGAUAACGUAGGGAAACUUACGCUAAUACCGCAUACGUCCUACGGGAGAAAGUGGAGGACCGCAAGGCCUCACGCAGAAAGAUGAGCCGACGACCGAUUAGCUAGUUGGUGGGGUAAAGGCCCACCAAGGCGACGAUCGGUAGCUGGUCUGAGAGGAUGAUCAGCCACACUGGGACUGGGACACGGCCCAGGCUACUACGGGAGGCAGCAGAGGGGAAUAUUGGACAAUGGGCGCAAGCCUGAUCCAGCCAUGCCGCGUGUGUGAAGACGGCCUUCGGGUUGUAAAGCACUUUUGUCCGGAAAGAAAUCCCUGGAGCUAAUACCUUCGGGGGAUGACGGUACCGGAAGAAUAAGCACCGGCUAACUUCGUG